rnacentral:rRNA from 1 species
UGGUGGAGUGAUUUGUCUGGUUAAUUCCGAUAACGAACGAGACCUUAACCUGCUAAAUAGACCGGCCGACUAUGGUUAGCCGCUGUCUUCUUAGAGGGACUAUUGGCGUUUAGCUAAUGGAAGUUUGAGGCAAUAACA